ensembl:lncRNA
ACCAAGUACAAGGAGGCGGGUAAGAAGGAGGUGAAGACAUGUCUGUACUCCCUCAUGCCUCACACUAUGGACACGCAGUACGCCAAAGAAGCUGCACAGCUGCUCAGUGAGGUAAGAAGAAACAAAGAGCAACACGACUGAUGCAAAGACACUUCAGAUUUCUUACCUGCAGCGUCAUCCAUCCUCCUCUCCCAGAUCAAAUACAAAGAAAGCAUGAAGAAGGAGAUGUCCAGCUCGCUGUACUGCACUCUGCCCGACACGGCAGAGUGCAGCUUCGCCCGAGAGAUGAGCGACAUGCAGAGCGAGAACAAGUACAAGGAGGACGGAAAGAGAAACCUCCCUCAGAGCUUCUACUCUCAGCUCCCAGAAACAGCUGACACUCAGUUCGCUAAAACUGUGUCUGAGCUGCAGAGCGAGGUGAGGGAGACACGUGCUGCAUGAAGGACGUCCUGCUGAAGUUGUUUAGAUACGUACACGUGUGACUGUAACGAUCUGCUUGUUCUUUGGUGUCCUGUUUUAUGUUGAAGUGUUCACUCCCCCUUGUUAUAUGUCUAGUUGUACUUCCUGUCUGUGUCUUUACCCUCCCCCUCUGAUUGUUAAUGCGUUCCUCCUGUGUCCAUUUAUUGAAAUAAAGCCGAAGCUAACAAAAUACAAAAAUACAACGUAACAAAAACACACACCGGGCAGGACACGGGCAGGACACGGGCAGGACACGGGCAGGACACGGGCAGGACACGGGCAGGACACGGGCAGGACACGGGCAGGACACGGGCAGGACACGGGCAGGACACGGGCAGGACACGGGCAGGACAUGAAGACAAUCCGACAACACAGUGGGGCAGACAGGGAUAAAUACACAGACACCAAACGAGGGAACAAGACACAGCUGGGGGAGAAAGGCAAAAACACAAGAACAGAGUAAAUGGACACAGGAGGAACACAUUAACAAUCAGAGGGGGAGGGUAAAGACAC